AGAGUUUGAUCAUGGCUCAGGAUGAACGCUAGCGGCAGGCUUAAUACAUGCAAGUCGAACGGUAAGCGGGUAGCGAUACCUGCCUAGAGUGGCGCACGGGUGCGUAACGCGUAUGCAACCUACCUUUAACUGGGGGAUAGCCCGGAGAAAUUCGGAUUAAUACCCCAUAGUAACACUGAUGGGCAUCUGUUGGUGUUUAAAGCUUUUGCGGUUAGAGAUGGGCAUGCGUUCCAUUAGCUAGUUGGUGUGGUAACGGCAGACCAAGGCUACGAUGGAUAGGGGACCUGAGAGGGCGAUCCCCCACACUGGUACUGAGACACGGACCAGACUCCUACGGGAGGCAGCAGUAAGGAAUAUUGGGCAAUGGACGCAAGUCUGACCCAGCCAUGCCGCGUGCAGGAAGACGGCCUUAUGGGUUGUAAACUGCUUUUGUCAGGGAAUAAAAGCCUGUACGGGAUACGGGUUUGCAGGUACCUGAAGAAUAAGCAUCGGCUAACUCCGUGCCAGCAGCCGCGGUAAUACGGAGGAUGCGAGCGUUAUCCGGAUUCAUUGGGUUUAAAGGGUGCGCAGGCGGGCGAAUAAGUCAGGGGUGAAAUUCCACGGCUCAACUGUGGGUCUGCCUUUGAUACUGUUUGUCUUGAGUUUAGUUGAGGUGGGCGGAAUGUAGCAUGUAGCGGUGAAAUGCAUAGAUAUGCUACAGAACACCGAUAGCGGAGGCAGCUCACCAAGCUAUAACUGACGCUCAUGCACGAAAGCGUGGGGAUCAAACGGGAUUAGAUACCCUGGUAGUCCACGCCCUAAACGAUGUCGACUAGUCGUUCGGAGCAGCAAUGCACUGAGUGACGCAGCUAACGCGUGAAGUCGACCGCCUGGGGAGUACGGCCGCAAGGUUAAAACUCAAAGGAAUUGACGGGGACCCGCACAAGCGGUGGAUGAUGUGGAUUAAUUCGAUGCAACGCGAAAAACCUUACCUACCCUUGACAUGCCAGGAACCUUGCUGAGAGGCGAGGGUGCCUUCGGGAGCCUGGACACAGGUGCUGCAUGGCUGUCGUCAGCUCGUGUCGUGAGAUGUUGGGUUAAGUCCCGCAACGAGCGCAACCCUUGUCACUAGUUGCCAUCAUUUGGUUGGGCACUCUAGUGAGACUGCCGGUGACAAACCGGAGGAAGGUGGGGAUGACGUCAAGUCCUCAUGGCCCUUAUGGGUAGGGCUUCACACGUCAUACAAUGGUCGGUACAGAGGGUUGCCAAACCGCGAGGUGGAGCCAAUCCCUUAAAGCCGAUCGUAGUCCGGAUCGUAGUCUGCAACUCGACUACGUGAAGUCGGAAUCGCUAGUAAUCGCAGAUCAGCAUGCUGCGGUGAAUACGUUCCCGGGUCUUGUACACACCGCCCGUCACACCAUGGGAGUGGGUUUCACCAGAAGUAGGUAGCUUAACCUUCGGGAGGGCGCUUACCACGGUGAGAUUCAUGACUGGGGUGAAGUCGUAACAAGGUAACC
rnacentral:rRNA from 1 species